AACGAACGCUGGCGGCGUGCCUAAUACGUGCAAGUCGAACGGGGAAAGCUUUCGGGUGAGUACUAGUGGCGCACGGGUGAGUAACGCGUGGAUAAUCUGCCUUAGAGUGGGGGAUAACUAGUCGAAAGAUUAGCUAAUACCGCAUAAGACCACAAGAACUGCGGUUCAAGGGGUCAAAGGUUUUUCGCUCUAAGAUGAGUCCGCGUAAGAUUAGCUAGUUGGUGAGGUAAUGGCUCACCAAGGCGACGAUCUUUAACUGGUCUGAGAGGAUGAUCAGUCACACUGGAACUGAGACACGGUCCAGACUCCUACGGGAGGCAGCAGUAGGGAAUAUUGCACAAUGGAGGAAACUCUGAUGCAGCGACGCCGCGUGAGUGAUGAAGGCCUUCGGGUCGUAAAGCUCUGUCGCAAGGGAAUAACACAAUGAAUGUACCUUGCAAGAAAGGAUCGGCUAACUUCGUGCCAGCCGCCGCCGUAAAAC
rnacentral:rRNA from 1 species